rnacentral:rRNA from 1 species
AUUGACGGGGGCCCGCACAAGCGGUGGAGCAUGUGGUUUAAUUCGAUGCAACGCGAAGAACCUUACCUGGUCUUGACAUCCACGGAAGUUUUCAGAGAUGAGAAUGUGCCUUCGGGAACCGUGAGACAGGUGCUGCAUGGCUGUCGUCAGCUCGUGUUGUGAAAUGUUGGGUUAAGUCCCGCAACGAGCGCAACCCUUAUCCU